ensembl:lncRNA
GGAAAUCCACUUCUCUUCUCAGACAAGGGAUGGAGAGGGUGAAGAGAAAGAUAAAAGCAACAGUCUUAGCAGAGCACAACUGACAAUGCAGGAUCCAGACAGUGGAACCUAUGGGCAACACAGGAGUAUCAGCUUACUCAACCAUGAUAUGGCAACUCCCCACCUCAAGCAUGUCCAAAAGUAGCAGACACACAUACUUGCAGACAGAGAAAGGGGUAUUAAAUCAAACCGGUGUUUACAAAGAGAGACAAAGAGCCGUAUCCAGCAUUCAGAAGAAGCUCUGUGGGUUUGCACAUUUGAGCUAUGUGCCACAGGUACAAUUUUAUUCUUUGAUAACCAAAAUGAGUUUCAGCCUCUGAAAGAAGUGGGUGGAGCUCAGCCUGUGUUAGUUCUUCAUUGGCAAACUUCCUCUGGGCAUCAGUGAAAAGGGCUAGUAUAACACAGUGGUUUCUCAUGCAUCACCCAUCUGCCAAACCUCAUGUUGUUAUUUUGUUAAUGCAUUCAGCUUUGUUUUUAUCUCUGCAUGAAGAGAGCUGGGGCUGCCUUGAUGCUCAUUUCCAGACCCUCAGGAUCCUUCAGCUACUUUUCAAUCAUCUGCAAUAAGAGUUUCUAACAGCCAAGGCUGUCAAAGCCUGAGGUUAAGCUCCCAGAACUAUAUUUAGGCACUUCAACAGGUGGCCUGAAGUAUGAAAGUGCUCAGCCUGCAAGCUGCUGCUCAGCUACUUAAACACUGAAAUCCACAGACCAGCUGAGAGGUCAGGCCUGAGAAAUACCCAGACGUGUGCUAAGUGCCUGAAUGUGUUCAGGGGAACAUGGAAUAGUCUUUCUUUUCAGUUUUUUUUUUUUAAUUCUCUUUCCACUUUUAAAUUAUGGUUUUUCGUAGGUAAUGUUUAUUAUCUCCAUUGUCAUAGAAAAGCUGUUAUCUGAUAUCCCUGAUCAGUUCUGUCUUAACUCAUGCAAAGGUCAAUUAAGUUCAGCAGCCAGAGUUCAUAUUUAAUGGAGAGACAGCAGCUAAUUUCACCUUUUCAUUUAAAAAUAGAUGCUAAAAUUCAGUGAUGAUUGCUUGUUAGUUAGUGUUUCAUAAGCAAAGGAUAAACUAUAUCCUAUUCUCCCUUUGUGCAAAAUAGUACUGCCACAUGGGGAUGGCUUAUGGACCACUCUCAAUUUCCAGACAGGUGCUGAAGUCUGAGCAUCUACUUCACAAAAAACACUUCUGAUAAAAAAGAACACCUUGAUAUUUCUAUGAAGGUCACAUGUGGUAUGAUAGAUACUCCAUUUACCACUGACAUAUCUGUAUGAAAUGUUUCAGUGUUGAUGGAAUGUUGUAUUUCAAUGACUUAAAUGUUCUUUAAAGAAAAAAAAAAAACAAAAAAUUAUUGCAGAAUUCCUGGGUGUUUGAAUGCUUCUGGUUUUAACUGUAAAAUGGUUUGCUCAUGAAUGUUACUUGUAAAAUUGCUUUUUGAUACAUAAUACAGCUGUUGAAAAUUUAGUGAUCUUUUGGUAUGUGUCAAUUUAAGUCAUAAUACCUCGCAGACAGUUUGUAACUCCUAGACAAAAGCUAAAUACUGCUUUAUCCAAAGUUCUUAGAUGUGGCCAUUGCUUGGAUCAGAAACUCCCUUGUUUGGUCUAGAGGCAGACUUGAAUGUGGACUGAUCCAGUGCACAAUCAUGCUGCCCAGAUUCUGAAAUUUCAUGAACAUCUGACUUUGCCUGUAGUGAAUAAUUAAAUAAAUGAGCCUAAUGUUCCCCGCCUGUGUUGAUU